UGGGGAAUAUUGGACAAUGGGCGCAAGCCUGAUUCAGCCAUGCCGCGUGAGUGAUGAAGGCACUAGGGUUGUAAAGCUCUUUCACCGGUGAAGAUAAUGACGGUAACCGGAGAAGAAGCCCCGGCUAACUUCGUGCCAGCAGCCGCGGUAAUACGAAGGGGGCUAGCGUUGUUCGGAUUUACUGGGCGUAAAGCGCACGUAGGCGGACUAUUAAGUCAUGGGUGAAAUCCCGGGGCUCAACACCGGAACUGCCUUUGAUACUGGUAGUCUUGAGUUCGAGGAAGGUGGGUGGAAUUCCGAGUGUAGAGGUGAAAUUCGUAGAUAUUCGAAGGAACGCCAGUGGCGAAGGCGGCUCACUGGAUCGAUACUGACGCUGAGGUGCGAAAGCGUGGGGAGCAAACGGG
rnacentral:rRNA from 1 species